rnacentral:misc_RNA from 1 species
GUGAAUCAUCGAAUUUUUGAACGCAAAUUGCACUCUCUUCUGAUAGUAUGCCUGUUUGAGGGUCAGCCUAAAAAAAAUCUACAUAGUUGCUUUUUCGCGGUGACAUUCGUCGGAAAUUGGGUCAUCUUAAACCUUUGGGUUUUAAGCGGCUUAAAAUUUUCUUUACGAUUCCACGAACGUUUCUAAGAUGUACUUCUUACGUUGAAGUUAUCGAGUAUUAUUAUACGUGUCCGUUGCAUCGGGUGAUGUCCAUAAAUAUUUCAUUAACUGAC